GUGAUGCACUAGUUAGCAGCCUCUUUUCUAAAUACACACAAACUGUGUUUUUGGGUU
rnacentral:sRNA from 1 species